rnacentral:lncRNA from 1 species
UUCUAAUAUGUCUUGAUCCUCAAGACAUAUUAGAAAAUACAUCGCAUUAGCAAAAUGUGGUCAAUAUGGAUAGUAUAUAUAUAAAAAGAAAGCAGUAAUUUUUUUUAUUUAAAUUGCGUUUUUAAAUUAAAAUUGUUGCUUGGACUAAGUCCAGUGUAACCUAUUGGGCUUCCAAUAUCAGCCCAUUCGCCAACAUGAGGACUUUGUACUUGGAAUUAUGUAAAUUUAUCAGUAUCAAUUAACUGCAUAUUCGGAUUUUUCAUCACCCAUACACUGUAUUUUUCAGAAACAAAAUAGUUUUGCAAACUUGAAGCAUAUUAAUUGAAACGGGAUCAAAUAAUUCCUACACAAAGCAGCACAACAGACAUGUAGUAGUAUAGCCGCACAAGAACAUAACGGGCACACAGAAUCGGUGUAAUCCAUGUGGAACGAGCCAUGAGAGGAUGGCCCUCAGCGAGUCAAGGCCGCGAGCAGAGAAGCCAUGGUGGUGAGAACCAGCACACAGAGACCAGGUACCGCCGCGGUCGAUCCGCUCUCCAUGGUCGGCGCUGGCGCUGGAGCUUCCUGCGCAUGAACGACUGCGAUCGAUACAAGUAGCAGAAGAAGCAGAGGUACCUUCAUCAUCAAUGCUUCCAUUUCUCUCUGAUACACCAGUGCCAGAGAGAAAGAGAGAGAGAGAGCGCUUGGGUUGUUGUGAAUGUGAGAGAGCUUGGGAGGCAUAUAUAGAGAGAGAAAGGAUGGGAGAGGACGAGACAGAGCCGUUGGGAAGGGGGAAG